rnacentral:rRNA from 1 species
UACGAACUGUGCGAACGUUAUUCGGAAUCACUGGGCUUACAGGGUGCGUAGGCGGCUCAGCAAGUCAGGUGUGAAAGCCCCCGGCUCAACCGGGGAACUGCGCUUGAAACUGUUAGGCUCGAGUCAGCUAGAGGUACACGGAACUUCCAGUGGAGCGGUGAAAUGUGUUGAUAUUGGAAGGAACACCGGAGGCGAAAGCGGUGUACUGGGGCGGGUCUGACGCUGAGGCACGAAAGCCAGGGGAGCGAACGGG